GGCGGCGUGCCUAAUACAUGCAAGUAGAACGCUGAAGGAGGAGCUUGCUUCUCUGGAUGAGUUGCGAACGGGUGAGUAACGCGUAGGUAACCUGCCUGGUAGCGGGGGAUAACUAUUGGAAACGAUAGCUAAUACCGCAUAAGAGUAGAUGUUGCAUGACAUUUGCUUAAAAGGUGCAAUUGCAUCACUACCAGAUGGACCUGCGUUGUAUUAGCUAGUUGGUGAGGUAACGGCUCACCAAGGCAACGAUACAUAGCCGACCUGAGAGGGUGAUCGGCCACACUGGGACUGAGACACGGCCCAGACUCCUACGGGAGGCAGCAGUAGGGAAUCUUCGGCAAUGGACGGAAGUCUGACCGAGCAACGCCGCGUGAGUGAAGAAGGUUUUCGGAUCGUAAAGCUCUGUUGUAAGAGAAGAACGAGUGUGAGAGUGGAAAGUUCACACUGUGACGGUAUCUUACCAGAAAGGGACGGCUAACUAC
rnacentral:rRNA from 1 species